rnacentral:lncRNA from 1 species
GUUAGUUUAGCUAAUCCUGGACUUAGUCUGGUAAUGGAGCCGAGGCUGGCCACAGCGGGGCAAGAUGGCUCCACUAGAACCUGCGGAGCCCAAAGUGCUUCGGGUCACGAGGAGCAGGGAGAAAUCGGAGAGGAAUCGCCUGGGAGCUGGCCCGGGAUGGAGGGUGGCACCAGAGGAGGAAGCAGACCCCGAACUGCGCUGAGCUAAGUCGUGAGCGGAAAGACUGACGCGGUCACAGCAGGCUGUCCCGCAGGCUGAGAUAGCCAAGAACCAUGAGAGUCCUCCUUCCUGUUCUGCUGAGCAUCUUGCUCUGUAUAGAGCCAGCUCAUUCUCUCAAAUGCUACAACUGUACCAAGGUACAGCAAUCCAGUCAGUGCACCUCUGUUCAGUGCCCGGGGUCAGCAACUCACUGUGGGAGUUUGGAAGCUGGAGAAAAAAAUGGGCCAGAGAACCAAAAGUUUCACUUCAAGGGCUGUACUAAUUCCUGUGAAAAUUUUUUCACGGAAUCAUUUUCAAAGGCCCAUAUGUUGAUCCCCCAAGCUAUCAUUGAAGUGGGUUAUUCCUGCUGUUCAAAAGAACUGUGUAAUGGGGCUGAUGGGAUCAGGAGCAGCCCCUUUGCUCUGCUAGGAGCACUCCUACUCAGCCUUGGACCUGCCUUCUUCUGGGCCAUGAUGUGAGGACUUCAGUCACCUCCUUAUGAAUGACCCUGUCUUGUGGUUUCCUUAUGCCUCAGGAAUAGAUAUGCACCUUUCUCUCUGCACGUCCCCUCUCCUGCUCUUAGACCAAUUGCAAACAUAAUUUACCAGAAUUUUAUCAGUUCUGUUAUCAGUCCUACAUAUACAUAGCAGAUACACAUCUACACAGAUAUAUGCACAGAAAAAAAAGCAGACAUUUACUUUUCCCUGAAGUUAUCAAUGCCUUUGCACUUCCUUGUCUAUUACUAGAGAGAGCUACACAGGAACUUAAAUUUAUUAAACAUUCUGUCCCACAGAGACCUAUUUCUCUAGUUAUCUUUCUUUUCUUAGUUUCAUUUAUACCUUUUACUUUUAUAUUGCAUCUUUUUCUAAAUAUAUCUAAUUCACCAUCCCUAGUUAGAAAGUCAUUUCUUCUUUAAAGGCUAAAAGAAACAAAAACAUAACAGCAAAAUCAUCUGAUGCAAAGAAUAACCGAGUUUACCAGACUAGGGAAUACUUGGUACCUAGAGUCCCCUACCUCUCCAGUAAAAGGAGGGAGAUGUAUUUUUUCCUCUUUUCUCUGGGUCACAAUUAAGCAUUAUAAUACAAUGUUUGAUUUCAUUUUUUAAAAAAUUA